CCCUUAGAUGUUCUGGGCCGCACACGAGCUACACUGAAGGAGGCAGCGUGUACUCCUGGAUCGAAAGAUUUGGGUAACCCGCGAAUCUCCUUCGUGCUAGGGAUUGAGGUUUGCAAUUAUCCUUCAUGAACGAGGAAUUCCCAGUAAGUGCAAGUCAUAAGCUUGCGCUGACUACGUCCCUGCCCUUUGUACACACCGCCCGUCGCUACUACCGAUUGAAUGAUUUAGUGAGGACUUCGGACUGGGACCGAUGCGGCUUUCGGGCUGCGUCGGUAUUCUGGAAAGAUGUCCAAACUGUAUCAUUUAGAGGAAGUAAAAGUCGUAACA
rnacentral:rRNA from 1 species